CAUGCCGUAAACGAUGAGUGCUAAGUGUUAGGGGGUUUCCGCCCCUUAGUGCUGCAGCUAACGCAUUAAGCACUCCGCCUGGGGAGUACGACCGCAAGGUUGAAACUCAAAGGAAUUGACGGGGGCCCGCACAAGCGGUGGAGCAUGUGGUUUAAUUCGAUGCAACGCGAAGAACCUUACCUACUCUUGACAUCCAGAGAACUUAGCAGAGAUGCUUUGGUGCCUUCGGGAACUCUGAGACAGGUGC
rnacentral:rRNA from 1 species